CCGGAAUGCUGACGCGGAGGGAUCAUUACAGAGCUGCAAAACUCCCUAAACCAUCGUGAACGCUACCUAAACCGUUGCUUCGGCGGGCGGCGCCCUCGCGCGCCCCCCCUGGGGCCCGCACCGCGGGCGCCCGCCGGAGGUACACCAAACUCUUGAUAUGUUAUGGCCACUCUGAGUCUCCUGUACUGAAUAAGUCAAAACUUUCAACAACGGAUCUCUUGGUUCUGGCAUCGAUGAAGAACGCAGCGAAAUGCGAUAAGUAAUGUGAAUUGCAGAAUUCAGUGAAUCAUCGAAUCUUUGAACGCACAUUGCGCCCGCCAGCAUCCUGGCGGGCAUGCCUGUUCGAGCGUCAUUUCAACCCAUCAAGCCCACGGCUUGUGUUGGGGACCUGCGGCUGCCCGCAGGCCCUGAAAACCAGUGGCGGGCUCGCUAGUCACACCGGGCGUAGUAGCAUACGACCUCGCUCAGGGCGUGCUGCGGGUUCCAGCCGUAAAACGACCUUCACAACCCAAGGUUGACCUCGGAUCAGGUAGGAGGACCCGCUGAACUUAAGCAUAUCAAUAAGCGGAGGAA
rnacentral:rRNA from 1 species